AUACGUAGGGCGCGAGCGUUGUCCGGAUUUACUGGGUGUAAAGGGUGCGUAGGCGGCUCUGCAAGUCAGGUGUGAAAACCAUCGGCUUAACUGAUUGACUGCAUUUGACACUGUGGAGCUUGAGUGGAGUAGAGGCAGACGGAAUUCCCGGUGUAGCGGUGAAAUGCGUAGAGAUCGGGAGGAACACCAGUGGCGAAGGCGGUCUGCUGGGCUUUAACUGACGCUGAGGCACGAAAGCAUGGGUAGCAAACAGGAUUAGAUACCCUGGUAGUCCAUGCCGUAAACGAUGAUUACUAGGUGUGGGGGGUCUGACCCCCUCCGUGCCGGAGUUAACACAAUAAGUAAUCCACCUGGGAAGUACGACCGCAAGGUUGAA
rnacentral:rRNA from 1 species